AGAGAUUGUCAGGGUCUUGCUGAAAGAUGGAGCUGACAGUAGUCUGAAAAACAACCACAAUGACACUGCCAUCAUGGUUGCAAAAAACAAAAAGGUAUCUGAUGUGCUGCGUGGGAGAGGCACUCGCAGCUGCACUGUGAAAACUAGCAGUAACGGCUCUCUGUCCCCUGGCAGCUCCAACCAUUCUCCCCGAAUGACUCCCACUUUUCAGCGCAGUGCGUCACUUUCUCCUGUGACUCCAGUUUUACCGCGAAGUCAGUCAGCGGACAGCAUUUCAGAACGUCAGUCACCGAUGAACAGCAAUGAAAAAACACUGCAAACAUUGCCACUGACACACCAUAAUGUAGCAGUGGACAACAGGGCAGGCUACGGAAUGGCACUCCAUCAUUUCCCAUCAUAUCUGUUACCGUCUGGGUACGACCCACUGGGUAAGCCCACUGUCUCUCAUAUCCAGAGAAGGAUGCUAAUCGCAGAUUACCCUCUUUACUAUCCCACUGGUAUUCAAACAUCUCCAUAUUACUCAGAUGCACAGAUCAUCUUACUCCCCAGUUUCCCCGUGCCGGUCACAUAUGGCUCUCCUUCACAGGGGGCUGUUAGCCAAUCACGGCCGUCCAGUCGCAGCAGUGAGCAAUCAGACAUGUCUACUGUGAGUGUAAACAGUGAAGAAAGAGGUGUGAGUUGAUAUUAGAUAGAUGUUUAAGCAGCUGGACGUCUUAAAGGUAUAGAUCACCCAAAAAUGGAAAAUUCUGUCAUUAUUUAUUCACCCUCAUGUUGUUCCAAACCUGUAUGAGUUUUGAUUAUUUUUAGUUGAUGAGAAGAUAUUUUGAUGAAUUUUGGUAACCAAACAGUCGCUGGUAGACAGUGACGUCCAUGGUUUGGAAAAAAUAUACUAUGAAAUUCUAUGGCUAACUGCAACUAUUUGGUAAGCAAAAUUCUUCAAAAUAUCUUCUUUUGUGUUCAGCAGCAUACAGGUUUAGUGGGUGAAUUAUCCCUUUAAAGGGAUAAUUAAAAUUAUUUUAUCAUUUAUUCAACCUCAUGUUGUUCCAAACCUGUAUGAGUUUCUUUCUUCUGCGGAACAUAUUUUGAAGAAUGAUGGUAACCAGACAGUUUUGGUGACCAUUGUAAGAUGGAAUUGCAUGCGGGUUAAUAAAUGAUGAUUUUGAGUGAAUUAUUCCUUUAAGUGGCGUUGUUUGAAUAUUAUUUGUGUUUGGACAACAUACUGACUGAUUUAUAGCAUUUAUAUGUAUCUAAG
rnacentral:lncRNA from 1 species